AGUGAACGCUGGCGGUAGGCCUAACACAUGCAAGUCGAACGGCAGCACAGUAAGAGCUUGCUCUUACGGGUGGCGAGUGGCGGACGGGUGAGGAAUACAUCGCCAUCUACUUUUUCGUGGGGGUUCACGUAGGGAAACUUACGCUAAUACCGCAUACGACCUACGGGUGACAGCAGUGGAUCUUCGGACCUUGCGCGAUUGAAUGAGCCGAUGUCGGAUUAGCUAGUUGGCGGGGUAACGGCCCACCACGGCGACGCUCCGUAGCUGGUCUGAGAGGAUGAUCGGCCACACUGGAACAGAGACACGGUCCAGACUCCUACGGGAGGCAGCAGUGGGGAAUAUUGGACAAUGGGCGCAAGGCGGAUACAGCCAUACCGCGUGGGUGAAGAAGGCCUUCGGGUUGUAAAGCCCUUUUGGUGGGAAAGAAAAGCAGCAGGUUAAUACCCCGCUGUUAUGACGGUACCCAAAGAAUAAGCACCGGCUAACUUCGUG
rnacentral:rRNA from 1 species